UCUUCCUUCCCAUCAUUUUUUCCAUCUUCAUUUGUUUCAAUCGAAAUUUUUUCUUCCUUCUAACGUUAGAUUAUUAUAUGUCAUUAUCAUGAUACUUUUGUUUAUUCGUACUAUGUUGUUCUCAACCAGAUAAUGAGCCGAAAAUUUAGCUCCAUUAAGGACAUUAACGAUACAAAGGAAACAUGGAGAUAGCUGAUGAGGGUCAUAGUAUACCUUUAACCAAAAUCCUAGUCGUUGAUCAUGUCGAUGAUUCCAUUGAGUCUUUGUCUGCAUAUGGAGAAAAUGAUCCUGAAAACUUUAUGGAACGAAAUUACUAAUUACUCAUGAUGUUGAAGAAUCUGACUGUCAACUUUAUGGAACUACUCAACUUUCAGGAACGAAACCAUCAAAAAAAGUGAAGAUUGAAUCAAACGC